rnacentral:lncRNA from 1 species
CUGGAGGCAGCAUGAGCCCAGCCAGAGACAUGGGUGCUGGCUGGAUGUGCAGUUCUCUCUGCCCCUCUGCUUCCUCAUCUCUGCAAUGGGAGGAGUCACUCCUCCUGGCAGAGCCAAUGCAGUGGUGCUCAUCAGACACAGUAGCAUCUGGAUUGAGCAGACUUGGGAGUGCACUAGUGUGGGUCUCAGGAUGGGGACACCCCACAGGACCUGGUGAGACUCACAGGAGCCGGAUGGUCUGUAAUAGAAGGCCUGGGAUCCGCAGCCCCCAUUAG